GCCAGGGUGGCGGAGCGGUUAUCGCGCCGGUCUUGAAAACCGGUUCCCUCACGGGUUCAGGAGUUCGAAUCUCCUCCCUGGCG
rnacentral:tRNA from 1 species